rnacentral:rRNA from 1 species
UACGGAGGGAGCUAGCGUUGUUCGGAAUUACUGGGCGUAAAGCGCACGUAGGCGGCUUUUUAAGUCAGGGGUGAAAGCCCGGAGCUCAACUCCGGAACUGCCAUUGAAACUGCAGAACUUGAGGAUGAGAGAGGUGAGUGGAAUUCCCAGUGUAGAGGUGAAAUUCGUAGAUAUUGGGAAGAACACCGGUGGCGAAGGCGGCUCACUGGCUCAUUUCUGACGCUCAGGCGCGACAGCGUGGGGAUCAAACAGG